CUCUCUCUCUGCUGGCUGGCUGGCUGUCUAGGCCUAUGUGUCACCACCUGGCACUUGCUCUCAUUGUCUUGUGCGAGUGCUUUUGCCAGCAGUUUGGAGUGCAGACCCAUCACCCCUCACUGGGGCCCCCCAUGAGGCCUGCCUGACUGCAUGCCCCACCCGGGCCCAUGGCAGCGCACCUGGAAGCGGACGGCUGAGGACUUGUUGCAGUGCAUGGAGAUGGGCGCGAAGCUGUACAGGGCCUUCAGUACGUCGCGGUUGAAGGAGUUCCAGGGAACAGAGGAUCCCGAAGCCCCCCUGCAAGUUGGAGGAGACCCGUCAGCCCCGGGCCAUGCCACGCAGACGCUGCCAUCCAGCAGCUUUCGCCGCACCCACGUGUACACUGCGUCCACUCGUCUGUUCACUGCACCGUGCCAGGCAUGCUCUGGGGAACCGAGUCCCUGCCCUCAAGGAAUUGCCACCAUUGGCAGGAGAGACAGGCAGUGAGUGAGUGAGUCAACCAGGAAAUUCGUAUCAGGUACUGAUGAUGCUGUGAGGAAAAAUGAAACGGGACAAGCGGAUGGGGUGUUAUUGUGCCCAUUUUAUGGGUACAGAAACUGAGUCUCAGAGCAGGCAAGGGGAUGCCCCGUGGUGGCCACAGCAUCGGUGGCACAGCCUGAGUGCACCCAGCGUCCCGGCCAUUGUCUGGAAGCUGUCCCCAUGACCUCCAGCGAGAGCCUGGAGCCAAGGACUGCAAGGGAGGCCCUUUCCACUGCAGCCCCGCACCGUCCACCAGUCAUUUCUCCAACGUGGCUCUGAGGGGAGCAGGGACUCUAUAAGACAGGACCGUGACUAGAGGCCGCGACAACCUCCAGCCUCUCACGGCAACCCUACGGCCUGCCAUCGCAUGGGAGGGGCAGGGCAGGCACCCUCUGAGUCCCCACUGCCAGCUUUAAGCCCCUCGCUGGGUUGCUGCUCUUGGAGCUGGUGACCGUGGAGCCUCAGCCAUAGGAGGAAGAACAGCAGCAGCUUGGAGGAGCUGGGGCUGGAGAGAGCAAAGCUCCCCCGGCAGCAGCUCAGAUCCCAGCAGGUCAGGGGCCGGGACAUGACGCCCUGGCCACCCUUGCCCCUCCAGGCUCCCCGCUGUUUGUGAAGCUGCUGUGGGCCUGGGGAUUUCAUCUGGCUGGUGGGGAAGAAAGGCAAUCUUUACUCUAUGGCAGAACAAAGGGACUGGGCAAAGCUUGGCGUGGCACUUACACCAGCUGCCGCCCCCUCCUCCCGUGCAGACAAAGAGCAUGGGACAGUUCUGCCCAGAGACGAAACCUGGCACCUGUUGGCCAGGACGCGUUUUUGCCAGCAUUGUUCUCUGGGCCGGAUUCCUCCUUUCCCAGCUUUUCUCAUCCAUCCCGCCCCCGUCAGAUCGGGACGAUUGCCCUCCUGUGUGAGUUCCUGUCCCUCCCCACCCUCUGCCACCACAGACAUCAAAAGGGAACUGAGUCCGACCCUGUGUAGAAUCUGUUCUCCUCUUUCACCUGGGGAAGGAAAUCGAAUUUCAAAGGCCACUGUGUCUUGGAUCAGCAGGCGAGGGCUUGUCAGAGUGUGAGAAGCUCAGGUCCACCUGGGGAGCUGCCCUCCCCUUUGAUCCCACCUGGUGCUGUGAUGUGGCCACUGCCAAGAGGACGACAUGGGCCAGGGAAGCCACAGAACUGCCCACGGGGACGCUGGCACCGAGGGCCUCAACCUGCAGAACGGCCAUCUGAGAUGUCCGCGGUGCUCACCAGGCCUGGCAGCCCCGAACGCCCUGGGACGUGGCGUCAGUUCCGCCGCCGUGAAGCCAGAUUGGGCAGGGAAUAUGCAGUCUCCUCGCUGGAUGCCCGGCAAGACCCUCCCAUCCCUGGCCCCGGGGCCGCGCCUGCAGAAUGGGGCUGAUGGUGGGGACUUGCCUGGGGUGCUCCACCUGCAGAGCCCUCUGUUUGCGAGCCCACUCAGUCACUGCACAGGUGCUUAGCCGAGAGGCGGCACAGUCGGGGUUGGCACCUGCACCCAUACCAGCCCUGCCUCCUGUUCGCUGUGUGGCCUGAGUGGCUGGACCUCACUGUAUCUCCUGGUGGGAUUGCUCAGAGGUCUCAGCAAGGCUUGGUGUGGUUAGGAUGAGUUAUUAGAGCAGUGCUGAGCUGUGGCAAGCACCCGACAUCAGCCACUGCUGUGAUAUACUGAGCACCUCCUCUAGAGAGAAUAAAGGACUGACAAAGCU